UACGGGGGGGCAAGCGUUGUUCGGAAUUACUGGGCGAAAGGGCUCGUAGGCGGCCAACUAAGUCAGACGUGAAAUCCCUCGGCUUAACCGGGGAACUGCGUCUGAUACUGGAUGGCUUGAGUUUGGGAGAGGGAUGCGGAAUUCCAGGUGUAGCGGUGAAAUGCGUAGAUAUCUGGAGGAACACCGGUGGCGAAGGCGGCAUCCUGGACCAACACUGACGCUGAGUGAGCGAAAGCCAGGGGAGGCAA
rnacentral:rRNA from 1 species